UACACCAUUAGAGGUGAGCUUCAAGUGU
rnacentral:piRNA from 1 species